rnacentral:rRNA from 1 species
GACGAACGCUGGCGGCGUGCUUAACACAUGCAAGUCGAACGGAAAGGCCCUGCUUUUGUGGGGUUCUCGAUUGGCGAACGGGUGAGUAACACGUGAGUAACCUGCCCUUGACUUUGGGAUAACUUCAGGAAACUGGGUCUAAUACCGGAUAUGAUCUCCUGCUGCAUGGUGGUGGUUGGAAAGUGUCGGCGGUUGGGGAUGGACUCGCGGCUUAUCAGCUUGUUGGUGGGGUAGUUGCUUACCAAGGCUUUGACGGGUAGCCGGCCUGAGAGGGUGACCGGCCACAUUGGGACUGAGAUACGGCCCAGACUCGUACGGGAGGCAGCAGUGGGGAAUAUUGCACAAUAGGCGGAAGCCUGAUGCAGCAACGCCGCGUGCGGGAUGACGGCCUUCGGGUUGUAAACCGAUUUCGCAUGUGACGAAGAGUGAGUGACGGUAAUGGGUAAAGAAGCAACGGCUAACUACGUG